UACGGAGGGGGCUAGCGUUGUUCGGAAUUACUGGGCGUAAAGCGCACGUAGGCGGCUUUGUAAGUUAGAGGUGAAAGCCCAGGGCUUAACCCUGGAAUUGCCUUUAAGACUGCAUCGCUAGAAUCGUGGAGAGGUGAGUGGAAUUCCGAGUGUAGAGGUGAAAUCGUAGAUAUCGUCUGGAACGCCGAAGGUGAAAACAGCUGCGCUGGGGCCG
rnacentral:rRNA from 1 species